GACAGAGGGUGCAAACGUUGUUCGGAAUUACUGGGCGUAAAGCGAGUGUAGGCGGUCUCGUAAGUCGGGUGUGAAAGCCCUGGGCUCAACCCAGGAAGUGCACUCGAAACUGCGAGGCUAGAGUACUGGAGAGGUUGGUGGAAUUCUCGGUGUAGAGGUGAAAUGCGUAGAUAUCAAGAGGAAUACCAGAGGUGAAGACGGGUUGCUAGGCUGACACUGACGCUGAGGCGCGAAAGCCAGGGGAGCAAACGGG
rnacentral:rRNA from 1 species